rnacentral:rRNA from 1 species
ACCCGCCGUUGGGUCAGU